ACGAACGCUGGCGGCGUGCUUAACACAUGCCCGUCGAACGGAAAGGCCCUGCUUUUGUGGGGUGCUCGAGUGGCGAACGGGUGAGUAACACGUGAGUAACCUGCCCUUGACUUUGGGAUAACUUCAGGAAACUGGGGCUAAUACCGGAUAGGAGCUCCUGCUGCAUGGUGGGGGUUGGAAAGUUUCGGCGGUUGGGGAUGGACUCGCGGCUUAUCAGCUUGUUGGUGGGGUAGUGGCUUACCAAGGCUUUGACGGGUAGCCGGCCUGAGAGGGAGACCGGCCACAUUGGGACUGAGAUACGGCCCAGACUCCUACGGGAGGCAGCAGUGGGGAAUAUUGCACAAUGGGCGGAAGCCUGAUGCAGCAACGCCGCGUGCGGGAUGACGGCCUUCGGGUUGUAAACCGCUUUCGCCUGUGACGAAGCGUGAGUGACGGUAAUGGGUAAAGAAGCACCGGCUAACUACGUG
rnacentral:rRNA from 1 species